rnacentral:rRNA from 1 species
AGAGUUUGAUCAUGGCUCAGGACGAACGCUUGCGGCAUGCCUGAGAAAUGCAAGUCGAACGAGUUCAGGGGGGCAACCCUCUGAGCUAGUGGCGAACGGUCGAGUAACACGUAAGCAACCUGCCCGGAAGCGGGGGAUAAGCCGUCGAAAGACGGGGUAAUACCGCAUACCUUAGCGGGAGACAUCUCCCGCUAAGAAAGAUUUAUCACUUCCGGAGGGGCUUGCGGCCUAUCAGCUAGUUGGCGGGGUAACGGCCCACCAAGGCGACGACGGGUAGCUGGUCUGAGAGGACGGCCAGCCGGACUGGGACUGAGACACGGCCCAGACUCCUACGGGGGGCAGCAAUCAGGAAUCUUGCGCAAUGGGCGAAAGCCUGACGCAGCGAUGCCGCGUGGACGAUGAAGUCUUUCGGGAUGUAAAGUCCUUUUUCAGGGGAAGAUGAUGACGGUACCCUGAGAAUAAGCCCCGGCUAACUACGUGCCAGCAGCCGCGGUAAUACGUAGGGGGCGAGCGUUGUCCGGAAUUACUGGGCGUACAGCGCGCGCAGGCGGACCACGACGUGCCGUGUGACAAGCCACUGCUCACCAGUGGAGGGCCAUGGUACACGAGUGGUCUGGAGGCAGGGAGAGGGAUGUGGAAUGCCCGGUGGAGCGGUGAAAUGCGUAGAGAUCGGGCGGAACACCAGCGGCGAAGGCGGCAUCCUGGUCCUGUUCUGACGCUGAGGCGCGAGAGCGUGGGGAGCGAACUGGAUUAGAUACCCCCGUAGUCC